UACGUAGGUGGCAAGCGUUGUCCGGAUUUACUGGGCGUAAAGGAUGCGUAGGCGGACAUUUAAGUCAGAUGUGAAAUACCCGAGCUUAACUUGGGUGCUGCAUUUGAAACUGGGUGUCUAGAGUGCAGGAGAGGUAAGUGGAAUUCCUAGUGUAGCGGUGAAAUGCGUAGAGAUUAGGAGGAACACCAGUGGCGAAGGCGCUUACUGACUGUAACUGACGUUGAGGCUCGAAAGCGUGGGAGCAAACAGG
rnacentral:rRNA from 1 species